rnacentral:rRNA from 1 species
UGGGGAAUAUUGCACAAUGGGCGCAAGCCUGAUGCAGCCAUGCCGCGUGUAUGAAGAAGGCCUUCGGGUUGUAAAGUACUUUCAGCGGGGAGGAAGGGAGUAAAGUUAAUACCUUUGCUCAUUGACGUUACCCGCAGAAGAAGCACCGGCUAACUCCGUGCAAGCAGCCGCGGUAAUACGGAGGGUGCAAGCGUUAAUCGGAAUUACUGGGCGUAAAGCGCACGCAGGCGGUUUCUUAAGUCUGAUGUGAAAGCCCCCGGCUCAACCGGGGAGGGUCAUUGGAAACUGGGAGACUUGAGUGCAGAAGAGGAGAGUGGAAUUCCAUGUGUAGCGGUGAAAUGCGUAGAUAUAUGGAGGAACACCAGUGGCGAAGGCGGCUCUCUGGUCUGUAACUGACGCUGAGGCUCGAAAGCGUGGGGAGCAAACAGG